AUAUUAUCACAGAUAAUUCAAUUUAUGCCGCUAUGAGAAAUAUAUUAUAUUUUACACCUAAGGAUAAUUCUGCAUAUCCCUGCGCAGUCUGCAGGAUAUGCGCCCUUAUCGCAGCGCAAUUAUCAUAGAACCUUUCAUUGCGAAAUCGCACCUCAUUUUGCUUGACAGAGUUAUCCAAUCAAAAUCCUUGAUUUUGUUGCGCCAUUUUUGUUAGCCUGGCAGUGUAUUGAAGAAAAAAAAAAUAACAUUCGUUUUUUUUUUAACUUAUGGGAAAUAUAUGUUGUGUCAUUGUGAUUUGAAUGCAUUUCAAUCUUCUGCAUUAUUCAGUAUGCAAAUCUGAGAAAAUAAAAUAAACAGAGUGCAAUAGAUUAUCUACACUUAAUGUGUCAAAGGGGUUAUCGCUCAAUUAACCUGUCCGCUGAUCUACACAUGUUUGUAUGGUUUUUUUUAAUGAAUCUGUGUUCAAGGUCAACUGGGUCACCACGGGAUGUCAGCUGCAGUAUCGUGGAUUGUACUCUGGCCUCACCAGGGGGUUCUCGGGGAGUCUCUCCUAUCCUCUCUGAUCCUGGCUUUGGAUGGAGUCCACCUGCAGUAAACUUCAUUCUCUGUCCAGCCUAUGAGGAAUGUUCUUUUGCAUGUGCAUUUUAUCAUCUUUUCAAAGAAAUAAGACCAGUACACUAUUUUAUGUUCUAUAUUAUUAUUUUUAUAUAGCCUUAAUUAAAUUAUGCUCAGCUCAGAGCUAUAUAAAAAGUUGUGUACUGCUCCUUACAAUACUUUGCAUAUCCAGUUAACAAUUUAAAGAAUGUUUAACACAGUUUCUCUAAUGAUGUGAAGAUAUCAAUGAAGUUGAUAAUCAUUUUUUGUAGCAUUAGAAACAGGGAACAUUUGGUAAUUGCCAUAUAUCUGAAGACAUGUUAAGUUUAUUUACUAGCUGCCUUACAUAUAAUUCUUAAGGGGCAUUAUUAUCCCUAUAAGGAAGACUCGGCAAUUUUAAAAUGUAUUUUUAUGUUCAGCAAAAUCCUUA